UGGAUAGCAUUUUCCAUCAUGAGUCUUUUGGAAUUGUCUUAGAUCAUUUAGGGCUAUAACUCUUGCCUAGAGUAAGAGACAUCCCAGGUUGAAAAUGAUGAUGCACUCUGGAUCCUUUGAAACAGUGCAGUGGGAAGAGCCUUCAGCUGGAUGUCAGGAGCUAUGGACAGUGAUUCAUGACUCUGACUUCCUGCAUGAUCAUGGACAAAUCACCACCCCUCACCAGGUCUCAGUUUCCUCAUCUAUUGGGAUUUAGACUAAAUGGCCUAUAAAAGGAAAGUGUUGUCUCCCUCCCUAUCCACUGCCCUGGGGAGACACCUGGAGUAUUAUGUUCAGUUCUGAAUAGCACAUUUAAGGAAGAACAUGAACAGGCUGAAGAAUUUCCACAAAAACACAACUAAUUCAGGAAAGAGACUGGGAAUUAUGACCUAUGAGGAUUGGUUGAGGAAAAUAAGGAUGUUCAGCCUAGAGAAGAAAAGACAUGAUUCCUGUCUUCAAGGAUUUGAAGGUGAUCAACUGAAAGAGGUUAAUUGAGGGUUUAUUCUUCUUUGUCCUUAAUCAGUUAAUCAAUUACCAAUUAUUUAUUAAGUACUUACUAUGUGCCGAUACCAGUGUUAAGUACCAAGGAUGCAGCAAAACACAGCCCCUGCCUUCGGGGGCUUUGACUCAAGGACUGAACAAGGACCAGUGGAUGGAAAUCGCAAGAAGGCAUGCUUCAGCUCAAUGCUAGGGUGAAUUUUAUAAAAACAGAAUUGUCCAACAAUCAAACAGAUAACCUCAGAUGAGGAAACUGAAGUAAACACGGUUAA